rnacentral:rRNA from 1 species
CCUACGGGAGGCAGCAGUGGGGAAUUUUGGGCAAUGGGCGCAAGCCUGACGCAGCAACGCCGCGUGGGUGAAGAAGGCCUUCGGGUCGUAAAGCCCUUUUGUUGGGGAAGAAGUUCUGACGGUACCCAACGAAUAAGCCUCGGCUAACUACGUGCCAGCAGCCGCGGUAAUACGUAGGAGGCGAGCGUUAUCCGGAUUUAUUGGGCGUAAAGAGCGCGUAGGCGGCCUAUUAAGUCGGUUGUGAAAUCUCCCGGCUCAACUGGGAGGGGUCGACCGAAACUGGUGGGCUUGAGGACAGCAGAGGGAAGUGGAAUUCCCGGUGUAGUGGUGAAAUGCGUAGAUAUCGGGAGGAACACCAGUGGCGAAGGCGGCUUUCUGGGCUGUUCCUGACGCUGAGACGCGAAAGCGUGGGGAGCAAACAGGAUUAGAUACCCUGGUAGUCCACGCCGUAAACGAUGAGAACUAGGUGCAGCGGAUAUUGACCUCUGCUGUGCCGUAGCUAACGCGUUAAGUUCUCCGCCUGGGGAGUACGGCCGCAAGGCUAAAACUCAAAGGAAUUGACGG